AUGAACGCUGGCGGCGUGCCUAAUACAUGCAAGUCGAGCGAACGGACGAGAAGCUUGCUUCUCUGAUGUUAGCGGCGGACGGGUGAGUAACACGUGGAUAACCUACCUAUAAGACUGGGAUAACUUCGGGAAACCGGAGCUAAUACCGGAUAAUAUUUUGAACCGCAUGGUUCAAAAGUGAAAGACGGUCUUGCUGUCACUUAUAGAUGGAUCCGCGCUGCAUUAGCUAGUUGGUAAGGUAACGGCUUACCAAGGCAACGAUGCAUAGCCGACCUGAGAGGGUGAUCGGCCACACUGGAACUGAGACACGGUCCAGACUCCUACGGGAGGCAGCGGUAGGGAAUCUUCCGCAAAGGGCGAAAGCCUGACGGAGCAACGCCGCGUGAGUGAUGAAGGUCUUCGGAUCGUAAAACUCUGCUAUUAGGGAAGAACAUAUGUGUAAGUAACUGUGCACAUCUUGACGGUACCUAAUCAGAAAGCCACGGCUAACUACGUG
rnacentral:rRNA from 1 species